AGAAAAUGUGAGAUACAAUUGUGGCUCGGCGGGAAGCUUUGCGGGAUCUUCGGGAUCAACAUCUCAAAUAGUAGUUGCAUCUUCCACUAAUACUGAAUGUGAUGUCCUGCGAAGCAGUUAUAAUAGUGUAUUUCUUGCUCAUGAUGUUGCAUAUGAUCAAAAUCAUAUCUUUAUAUUUUGGCAGAUAAGGUCGGAUGGAUUGUAUCAUAGUUGGGAUGAACAAUCAUGGAUAAAAAGAGCUAACUGGAACCCUUCUUUUUGAUGAAUAAUAUACUUUUUGAUGAAUAAUAUAUUGUCAUAAUAAUACUUAUAUAAUAAUGUUGCAUAUAUUAUAUAUUUAUCAUAUUUUAUUACUUUUGAUAUUUUGCAAUAUUUUUAAUUUAUGUUUUUUUCAUUAUUUUCAUAGUUGGGAUGAACAAUCUUGG
rnacentral:lncRNA from 1 species